CCCUUAGAUGUUCUGGGCCGCACGCGCGCUACACUGACGAAUGCAACGAGCUUAUAACCUUGGCCGAAAGGUCUGGGUAAUCUCCAAAUUUCGUCGUGAUGGGGAUAGAUUAUUGCAAUUAUUAAUCUUCAACGAGGAAUGCCUAGUAAGCGCAAGUCAUCAGCUUGCGUUGAUUACGUCCCUGCCCUUUGUACACACCGCCCGUCGCUCCUACCGAUUGAAUGGUCCGGUGAAGCGUUCGGACCGUGGCCUUUGGACGGUUCGCCGUCUGUUGGCUGCGGGAAGUUCGUUAAACCUUAUCAUUUAGAGGAAGGAGAAGUCGCAACA
rnacentral:rRNA from 1 species